rnacentral:rRNA from 1 species
AUACGGAGGGUGCAAGCGUUACUGGGAAUCACUGGGCGUAAAGCGCGCGCAGGCGGCUAUUUAAGUUGGAUGUGAAAGCCUACGGCUCAACCGUAGAACUGCAUCCAAAACUAUUUAGCUAGAGUGUGGGAGAGGAAGAUGGAAUUAGUUGUGUAGGGGUAAAAUCCGUAGAGAUAACUAGGAAUACCAAAAGCGAAGGCAAUCUUCUGGAACAGUACUGACGCUGAGGCGCGAAAGCGUGGGGAGCAAACAGGAUUAGAUACCCGAGUAGUCC